GAACUUUUCUGUCUAGCUAAAGGAUUGUAAACUCACCAAUCAGCACUCUGUAAAAACGGACUGGUCAGCACUCUGCAAGAUGGACCAAUCAACACUGUAAAAUGGACCAGUCAGCAGGACGUGGGCGGGGCCAAAUAAGGGAAUAAAAGCUGGCCACCUGGGGGAGCAGCGGCAAGCAGCUUAGGUGCCUUUCCACGAUGUGGAAGCUUUGUUCUUAGCAAUAAAUCUUGCUGCUGCUUAUUCUUUGGGUCUGCACUACCUUUAUGACUGUAACACUCACCGCGAAGGUCUGCAGCUUCACUCCUGCAGUCAGCGAGACCAGCAACCCACCGGGAGGAGCAAAGCGUGCCAGAAGUGUGCCACGUUUAAGAGCUGUAACACUCACUGCGAAAGUCUGCGGCUUCAUUCCUGAAGUCAGCAAGACCAUGAACCCACCAGGAGGAAGGAACAACUCUGCACGUGCCAUCUUUGAGAGCUGUAACAUUCACUGAGAAGGUCUGCAGCUUCACUCCUGAAGUCAGCAAGACCAAGGACCCAUCAGAAGAAAAAAACUUGGGACACAUCUGAACAUCUGAAGGAACAAACUCCCGACACACCAUCUUUAAGAACUGUAACACUCACCACGAGGGUCCGCGGCUUCAUUCUUGAAGUCAGCGAGACCAAGAACCCACGGAAGGAACCAAUUCCGGACACAAGAGCACAGAUUCUAAAGCACCAUCCUCAGAGAUGUGACUGGGAUGAUCAGAAAUACGGCCCUGAGUGUCACACUUUUUAACAAGUUUGCCAGAAGAUUCUUUGAGAAUCACCUCUUUACUAGGUGAAUGUCUUCUUCAUUUUCCCUCAAGCUCCAUGAGGUCAAGGACCAUAUCUACUUUGCUCAUCAUUGAAUUCCCAGUGCCUUCAAAGCACAGUAUUUAGCAAAUGGAAGGUACUCAACAAAUAUCUGUCAAAGGAAGGAAAGAGGAGGAAGUUACAGUCAUAUUCAAAACUAAAAACAUACACACAUAGAAGGUGAAGAAGCAAAGCAGGGAAUUAAAUAACUGCUUGAACGGUUGAAUUCACCAAGUAACAGAGCAACAGUUCCAGGAUAUGAGAAAUAAAUCUGUGUGUUCCAACGCCAUUGAAGAAGGCACUUGGAAAUAAGUGACUUUUAAAAACUAUAGAAUUUAGGGGGGAGAAGUAGAGGAGAGAUGGAAUUUCUGGUAGAGAAAACUUUGUGAAUAAAGGCAUAGAAGUAAAUGAGUGGUGAAUGAGGUGCGAAGAGCUUUUCAUCUUACUCCAAAGUAUGCAAAUAAAGAGAGCCAUCCUGCAGCUCUAGCCCCAUCCCUUAAAUCCAGACCACUCUCCUUCUCCACUACCCUGUGCCAUGCAGCCCCCGGGCAGCUGCCGUGAUGGAGCAUCCCACCCAGGCUGAGAGCCCCACGACUCCAGCGUUCUCACCGGUGCUUGGCGAGGCCCUGGUGCUUAAUGGAGGUCCCAGGCCUGGGGCAUGCCGCAAAUGGGCUUCAAAGAGAGCAUCACGGGUCUUCUCAGCACCGCGCUCACCGGAGACAGCAAAUUACAAGCUGAAAAUUCACUACGUUUGUGAAAACCCUGAAUUUAUUUAGACAAAAGCAGAUGGAUAAUCUUGUUACAUUUCAGCACACCACACUUUAUUCAGAGGAAAUGAAACAACGCAUUACGCGUUCCUUUCUUUCCAUCUGCUCUCCCUUCCCUAAGUUCAGGUUUAUUAUUAAUAAAAUGAACUUAUCCUGCCUCCCUUUCCAUUCCAUUAGCCUUUACUCCUAAUUAAGUUUUGCUCACGUUGUCCUUUUCAGUGUCUCAGCAACUCUUUUUUCAACAUAGCUAUUUUCCCCCAGACCUCAAAUCAUUUCUACAGAUGAACUGCUGCCACCAGGAAUAUAAAAUGUCUUUAUCAAAUUAUAAUUUUUCUCAAAUGUUAAGAAAUUAUCUAGGCCCUUCUGUUCCUCCAAAGCAGGUCUGACUUGAAGGACAGAUUCUGCAGAGGAUUAGAAUCAACUCUUGACUUGAAUUUUUGGGAGGAGGAGGCAGGAGUCAUCUUCCUCUGAUUCCAAGCAGCUUGACCUUGGUUAGUUCACUAUUAGCCGGAUUAUUCACUUUCCCACUGCCCUCCAUCCACCACUGGUUUGUUUAUUUCCUUUCCCAAAACAAAUGUAAUGAAUGGGUACAGAAAGUGUCUCGAGAAAAACCCACUCUAAAAUUAGCUGGGCAUGGUGGUGAGCGCCUUUAAUCCCAGCUACUCAGGAAGCUGAAGCAGGAAAAUCACUUGAACCUGGGAGGUGGUGGUUGCAGUGAGCCGAAAUCGCACCACUGCACUCCAGCCUGGGCAACAGAGCUAGACUCUGCCAAAAAAGAAAAAAAAAAAAAGAAAAAAGAAAAACCCACUCAAAAAAAAAAAAUGCCAAGGGUGGUGGUGGCUCACACCUGUAAUCCCAGGUGCGAGGCUGAGGCAGGAAGAUCGCUUGAGCCUAGGAGUUCAAGGCCAGCCUGGGCAAUAUAGUGAGACCCCCAUCUCUAGAAAUAAAUAAAUAAAUAAAAGAAACAAAUGAAAAGCCCAAGCCUCAGAGACAGUAAAGACAGAAAAUAUGAUUGUCAAAAAAGUGCUGAGAUGGAUUCAGUGAGUCAAAGACAAGUCACCAGCCCUCCCUAAACUCCAGUCCACGUUCAAACAGGUUGGAAUUUGUAGCAUUUCUGUUCAUAACCACGGCAGCUGGGAAAGCAGAUUGUGCAUGUGGCAUUGUUGUCAACUUCUCUGGCCUGAGGAGUCUGAGUGUAGCUACUGCAAUCUCUACCCCAGGCAUUUUCCAGACCCCUUGGCACUCUGGUCAUUUUCCAGACCCCAGGCAGGCAUGACUCAAUGCCACUGUCCCUCAGGCCAACAUUCCUUUAGGUCAUGUAUGUGCCUGCCUGGGAGAGGGAAUUCUUCCUGGGGUUCGAAAGAGUGUGCUCUGGAAUCUUGACUCUUGCAGUCAAAUCCCAGCUCUGCCUCCACCUACCAGGGCAGACUUGAUCCAGUGAAUUUGUGCCUCUGUUUCCUCACCUGUAAAACAGGGCUAAAGAUCCAAACCUACUUCAUGGAAUUACUGCAAAGAUUGAUGUGAGAAAGUCUGACAAGCACUCAGCACAGGGCCUGGCACAUGAGUGUGCAGAAAAUAUUGACUGUCGUUACUAAUGGCAACUGUUGAGACUCUGAUACGAUUCAGGGAAAACUUCAGGUGUCCUGAUUUGACCCCAGCUCAUGACGGCAUACUUACUUCUGCACCCUAAGAUCUAGGAAAGCCACAUACAACUCAAGCCACAGUAGCUUACACCAGAUAUUAAGGAGAUCGAAAUGUCUCUCGGGUCAGUUCCAUAGUCCACUCAACUGAGGAACCGUCAUGCUGAUGGAGGUUUUCAGGUAAAUUUGAGUAUUAUCAUGAUUCUUCUCCUGGACACCAAACAAACCACAAAGGAAGUUACUCUUGACUACCUUACUUCAACCCUCCUGGAGUUUAUUCAUGUUUUCAGUUAGAAUUUCUUUCCUGUGGCAUUGCAUUGCUAAUAACGCCAGGUGAGACUGGUGUUAAGCAUGGGUCAAGGAAGUCUGCUAUUGGUGUUUCGAAAAUCAGCAAGUAAAAUCCAUCCACUGCCCUCCACAAUGCUAGGACCCAGAUCACAGGGAAGCUGACCUGGCCUCUGGCCUUUCACUCUAAUUGACUGUGGGCUUCCCCAUGGCUGACCUCUGAAAUCACCAAGCUAUGGCAACUCGGACACUGAAGCCCUGAUUAACGAGCUUUUCUGGAGCGCUUUACCUGUUACCUGUUUUGUACCUUGAGCAAGACACCUCUCUGACCAGGUGCUGUCCUUCCUCAAAGCAGGGGUGGAGCAAGCUGCUCAGGUCAGCCCCUGAGGCUGAUACUGCACUCUCAAUGAAUGGCAGAGUCACUCCUGCCUUUUUCACAGCCUUUGAAAGGUUCUGGAAUGAACCCACAUAAACUACUGCUUGCAGAACGGAUGGGCGAGUUCUUUACGACUCUGCUCCUGGGCUCUUAGUAAGCACACAUUUUCCCAAACUUAAAUCUUCUAAAUUGGAGUUGCCACCUUUAAAGGGUAAGCUGACCCAAUGUCCUUGCUGGUCAAAGAAAUUUUUUGCAAAUGCAGAAAAAUACUUAACACUUUCCUUUUCAGACACAGGAUGAAAGAGGGCACAAAUAGGUCAGAAUAUUGGCUUAAAUCAAAUUGUGGGAGCCGUUUGAAUUUACUUUUAUAGAUAGAAAAACUGGAAAACGUCAGUCCCUCCUACUUCCUCCUUCUGCCUAUGUCUCUCACUCAGCCAUUACAUGGAUGUGCUCUGGGGCCUCAGAAUCUUCCAGGCAGACUGCCCUCCCCACUAAGCAGGCAUGAUCUGGACACACUGAAGCAGAAAGGCAUGCCCCUUCAUAAAAGUCUGCCCCCAGUGCAGUGAUUAAGGCAGGACAAAAUGUCACCGCAGUGUUCCACCAGCACCUAUGCCUCUCUGUCCCUAGGCUGUGCACCCACCCAGGCCAGCCGCAUCACUUAGGUAACAGCAAAUGUGAGCAUCGCUGGUUGCUGUGGGAGGUAGAAAGACAGUGAAAGAAUACCUCUGACCUGGAAGACUGUGCUGUCUUGGAGGGAUCCAGGGUAUAGUCCUAGAGAAACAACUUUAGGGCACUAAAGGCAAAUAACAUAAAAUCUAGGGCUCUGGAGCCAGAGUCCCUGAGUUCAAAUCCUGUCUGCAUAAUUGUAUGAGCUUAGAGAAACUGCAUUCCUUCCCUGUCCCUAAAACCUCAUAGGGUAGUUAUAAGGAAAAUUCUGAAUAUGAAAAGUAUUCAGUACAGUCUUGAUUUUUAAAACUCUUAUUGAAAAACUCAACCAUCUCACAUUACUGCCUGCCAACAGCUUUCGCUCCCAGAAGGAAGAAGACCCAACCUCCCUUCAUAGGACUGCACAACCUCCCCCUGCCACCUCUGUGGUCUUAGUUCCCCAACUCUCACCCUUGCUCACUCAGCCUCAGUCACGCUGGACUUCUUCUGCUCAAACACACAGGCCUUCCUCCCACGGCAGCACCACCACUCUGUCGGCAUCUCCAUCCUGAGUGCUCUCAUCGCCUCCCCAAGCCCCUCACCACUACCGCUCUUCUCUCGGCUUAUUCCCUAACUCUAUUCAAUGCCGUCUUUUCCGUGACCACUUUUUCUAGAAUAAGAAUGUACCUUGCUUGCUGGUUUGGACGUGGAGAAAGGGAAACCCUUGUCCACUGUUGGUGGGAAUGUAAAUCAAUAUAGCCACUACAGGAAACAGUGUGGAGAUUUCUAAAAAAAAAAAAAGCUAAAAACAGAACUACCAUACAAUCCUACAGUCCUACCACUGUGUAUCUAUCCAAAGGAAAAAGAAUUCAGCGUAUUAAAGGGAUACCUGCACUCACUUAUUUAUUUACUUUUUACUUUUUAUUGAUUUAAUUAUACUUUAAGUUCUAGGGUACAUGUGCACAACGUGCAGGUUUGAUACAUAGGUAUACAUGUGCCAUGUUGGUUUGCUGCACCCAUCAACUCAUAAUUUACAUUAGGUAUUUCUUCUAAUGCCAUCCCUCCCCCAACACCCACCCCCUAGCAGGCACCAGUGUGUGAUGUUCCCCGUCCUGUGUCUAAGUGAUCUCAUUGUUCAGUUCCCACCUAUGAGUAAGAACAUGCAGUGUUCGGUUUUCUGUCCUUGCGAUAGUUUGCUCAGAAUGAUGGUUUCCAGCUUCAUCCAUGUCCCUACAAAGAACAUGAACUCAUCUGUUUUUAUGGCUGCAUAGUAUUCCAUGGUGUAUAUGUG
rnacentral:lncRNA from 10 species